CCGCGGGGGGCGGGGCGGGGCGGAAGGUGGCCACGCCCCCCCGGCGGGCGGGGGCCAGCCUCGAAGGCUGCGGGGCGCGCGCGGGCGGGUGGGUGUGGUGCAGGGUCAGCGAAUCACCGCGCUCAGCGGCCCUCCGCCCCCUCCCUCUGGCCUCCAAAGGGGUGCAAUUUGACAAGCGCCGCGGGCAAUAUUUUCUUCCUCGUCAGUGUCACUCUUCGGAUUAUCGGUCACUCACUCCUAAUCCCUAUUCACCAUUGUAAUCAAAUUGUACGCAGAGUAAUUUAAACCCAAUUAUAAUUUCAGAAGACAUCUCUAAGGCUUUGCAAACGAAGGCCUGCUCAAGCCCCUUCCUCGGGAACCCACAGGAGAGGUGUCAGCCCCGUUGAGCGCCUGUGGGAUCUGCACUCCUGGUCUUCCAGAGAGCCCACCGCCUCCCUCCCCAGCUCCCCAGACCCCUGGCCAGCCCGGGCCAUCCACCCAGUCUCUGCUGAAGGUACCUCGGUCUUUCCCGAGGCCAGAGCGAUUGACAGCUUUCAACUCACUUCUCACUGUUUCACUCGGUUCCAGACUCCUUCCUGGAAAUGUUCCCCUCUCUGGGCUUCUAUGACUCUCAUUCUGCUAGUUUUCCUCCCAUUCCUCUGGCUGCACCUGUCAGAUUCGACCUCCCUUAAAUUGCUGGUGUUUCCAGAGUUCAGCGCAAAGCUGGACUCUUCACCGUCCCCACCCAGUGUGAUCCUCCUCCCGGACUGCUCCUGUCUGGGGACCUGGCUCCUGUCGCCCAGCCACCGAGACCGAGACCGGAAUUGGGAAGUCUUUUUAUAACCUCUCCCUCCCCUUCCCAAUGAUAUCCCAUCAGCCUCUUUAUCAACCCCCAUCAGUCUAAAGGCUGCUGAAGCUCCCCUCCAGGGCUAACCCCAGAGCCCCCAACCCUCUCCCUGCCUCUGCUGGUGCCCUGCUAACUGGUUCUCCAGCAGAUUGCUCCCUCAGGUCACUGCUUUGCCUGAACUCCUCAGCAGCCUUCCAUUUCCAUAAAAUAGAUUCCCAAAAAGUGCUUAACACGCAAGACUCCUGGGGGGGGGGGGGGGCGGGCCCCUGACACACUUCUAACCCCUGCUCCAUCCACUAGUUUCCACCUAUCCUGCCCCCACCCCCAGGCUGGCAAGUAGUUACAGUUCCUGGAACAAUGGGCCUGACUCUUCCUCAUUUCCAUUCUUUUCCCUGCACGUUCUUCCCUGCCUCCUGCCCAGCUGCUUCCAAGAGAUGAAUUCCUUUUUCUAAGAUACAAUUUAAGUAGUCCCCAGUUUUGUAUAGCUUCCUGGAAGACUUCAAGCAGAGCUGGCCAGUCCAUCUUCGGUAUCCAUAGGGCCUAUUUAUACAGCUUGCCUAAAUCUUUCUGGCAAACCCAUCCGAAGGCUUUCCUGCUUCAGCAGAAACACGUCAAUCACUCUGAGAGUCUGGCCUCUCUACGUGUCCUGUGCCAUUACGUGCAAGGAAAACUAUGAGUAUCAGCAUAUCGGGAUGAGGAUCUCAGCAGCCCAAUGUCCUUACAUGGCUUCAGUUUCAUUUUAGAUCAUAUUUUCCAUAGAAAUCUUAAGAAGUUAUACACACUAUGUUGCUUUUAAAACGGCCUUCCUUUGGGGCGCCUCUUGGUUUCAGCUCAGGUCAUGAUCUCAUGGUUUGUGAGUUCAAGCCCCACGCCUAGGCCCUGCACUGACAGCUUUGCAGGCUGCUUGGGAUUCUGUCUCCCUCUCUCUCUGUCCCUCCCCCACCCUUUCAAAAGAAAUAAAUAAACAUCUUAGACUGC